GGAAUCAACGCUGGCGGCGUGCCUAACACAUGCAAGUCGCACGAGAAAGGGUAGCAAUACCUGAGUACAGUGGCGCACGGGUGAGUAACACGUGAAUAAUCUACCUCCGAGUGGGGAAUAACUGAGAGAAAUCUUAGCUAAUACCGCAUAAUACCCACGGGUCAAAGCAGCAAUGCGCUUGGAGAGGAGUUCGCGGCAGAUUAGUUAGUUGGCGGGGUAAUGGCCCACCAAGACGAUGAUCUGUA
rnacentral:rRNA from 1 species